rnacentral:tRNA from 1 species
GCCUGGGUGGCUCAGUCGGUUGAGCGUCCGACUUCGGUUCAGGUCGUGAUCUCACAGUUCGUGAGUUCAAGCCCCACGUCGGGCU